rnacentral:rRNA from 1 species
AGAACGAACGCUGGCGGCAUGCCUAAUACAUGCAAGUCGAACGAACACUUCGGUGUUAGUGGCGCACGGGUGCGUAACGCGUGGGAAUCUGCCCUUGGGUUCGGAAUAACAGUUGGAGACGACUGCUAAUACCGGAUGAUAUCGAAAGAUCAAAGAUUUAUCGCCCAGGGAUGAGCCCGCGUAGGAUUAGCUAGUUGGUGAGGUAAAGGCUCACCAAGGCGACGAUCCUUAGCUGGUCUGAGAGGAUGAUCAGCCACACUGGGACUGAGACACGGCCCAGACUCCUACUGGAGGCAGCAGUAGGAAUAGUGGACAAGUGGGCGCAAGCCUGAUCCGAGCAAUCGGCCGCGUGAGUGAGUGGAAGGUCCGUUAGGGUUAGUAAAGUCUUACUUACUACCCGAGAUA